GCAAGUUUACAUGAAUAAGGGCUUGGAUUCAUACACAAGCACAAGCAUAACCACAUAUGAUGUCAGAUUCUUGACAUUUUAAUUCCCACAAAAUUGCAUUUUAAAGAUGAAAUAUUGAAGCAUUUACGUUCAGCUCACCUUGUAAUAGAAAUUCCAAUUCAGAUGACCACUCAGAAUAUGGCCAAAAGCAUGAAAGUACAGAACCCCCAAGCAAACAACCUCAAUUUAUCAAGUCCAAAAUGCCAUCCUUCAUCAAAGGAAGAAGAGGGUAACAACUCAAAAUUUUAAAACGCAAGUUGUUCCAGAACUACAGAUUAAAUGUAUCAAAUUCUCAAGCUCUCCUUAGACAUGACUGACCCCACUUGCAACUUUGCAACCAAUGACCAUUUUUCUCGCCACCAUUCGAACCAUCUUUAAUUGUCAUCAUCAGCCCAUCAAAAAUAGCAUUUGACUAAACUAGGGAAACUAGCUUUAAAAUCCCAUUAAAUGGGAGAAAAGAUAAAUGCAGAAGUAGAAUUGAGGGUGGAUGAGGAUUCUACAAGAGAAAGCAAUGUUAUAACAACAACUGUCCUUCCCUAUGUCUGCAUCAUAAUCCUCCCCCUUCAGAAUAUCUUGAAAAGCAGACCACCAUGAGUGGCAAAGAAGGGAGCAAAGACAAGAGAUUCCACAGCCAUGAGCUUG
rnacentral:misc_RNA from 1 species